rnacentral:rRNA from 1 species
GUGUCAGCAGCCGCGGUAAUACGUAGGGGGCAAGCGUUGUCCGGAUUCAUUGGGCGUAAAGAGCGUGUAGGCGGUCAGGUAGGUCGGUUGUGAAAACUGGAGGCUCAACCUUCAGAGGUCGACCGAAACCCCCUGGCUAGAGUCCGGGAGAGGAGAGUGGAAUUCCUGGUGUAGCGGUGAAAUGCGCAGAUAUCAGGAAGAACACCCGUGGCGAAGGCGACCUUCUGGGCCGCAACUGACGCUGAGGCACGAAAGCCUGGGGAGCGAACGGGAUUAGAAACCCGUGUAGUCC